rnacentral:rRNA from 1 species
AACGAACGCUGGCGGCAUGCCUAACACAUGCAAGUCGAACGAGACCUUCGGGUCUAGUGGCGCACGGGUGCGUAACGCGUGGGAACCUGCCUUUAGGUCCGGAAUAACUCAGAGAAAUUUGAGCUAAUACCGGAUGAUGUCUUCGGACCAAAGAUUUAUCGCCUUUAGAUGGGCCCGCGUUGGAUUAGCUAGUUGGUGGGGUAAAGGCCUACCAAGGCGACGAUCCAUAGCUGGUCUGAGAGGAUGAUCAGCCACACUGGGACUGAGACACGGCCCAGACUCCUACGGGAGGCAGCAGUGGGGAAUAUUGGACAAUGGGCGAAAGCCUGAUCCAGCAAUGCCGCGUGAGUGAUGAAGGCCUUAGGGUUGUAAAGCUCUUUUACCCGAGAUGAUAAUGACAGUAUCGGGAGAAUAAGCGCCGGCUAACUCCGUG